GACGAAGGAUGCAAGCGUUAUCCGGAUUCAUUGGGUUUAAAGGGUGCGUAGGCGGCCUGGUAAGUCAGUGGUGAAAUCUCCUCGCUUAACGAGGAAACUGCCAUUGAUACUGCUAGGCUUGAGUACAGAUGCUGUGGGCGGAAUAUGACAUGUAGUGGUGAAAUACAUAGAGAUGUCAUAGAACACCGAUUGCGAAGGCAGCUCACAAAGCUGUAACUGACGCUGAGGCACGAAAGUGCGGGGAGCAAACAGG
rnacentral:rRNA from 1 species